UACGGAGGAUGCGAGCGUUAUCCGGAUUUAUUGGGUUUAAAGGGUGCGUAGGCGGGAUGCCAAGUCAGCGGUAAAAAUGCGGUGCUCAACGCCGUCGAGCCGUUGAAACUGGCGUUCUUGAGUGGGCAAGAAGUAUGCGGAAUGCGUGGUGUAGCGGUGAAAUGCAUAGAUAUCACGCAGAACUCCGAUUGCGAAGGCAGCAUACCGGCGCCCUACUGACGCUGAGGCACGAAAGCGUGGGUAUCGAACAGG
rnacentral:rRNA from 1 species